rnacentral:rRNA from 1 species
GAUUAACGCUGGCGGCGUGCAUGAAACAUGCAAGUCGAGCGCGGUACGUGGCUUCGGUCACGUAUCUAGCGGCGCACGGGUGAGUAACACGUGGGCAACCUACCUUCGAGUUUCGGGAUAGCCCUGGGAAACCAGGAUUAAUACCGGGAUGUGGUCACAACGGGACAUCCCGAUGUGAAAAAGGCGCAAGCCGCUCGAUGACGGGCUCGCGGCCUAUUAGCUUGUUGGU